GCAAGAUGGCGACUUUGAGUACUGCUACCACUGUUUCCCUGUGAGCUCAGCUAGCAUCAAAUUCAGUUGUCUUUGCUUAUGAAUCCCUUCGAAAGAAGAACAUUUGCAGAAAAACUGCAAGUAAAAAAACUCGGAGCAGAAAAGCCAGAAGUGAACAUAACCCAACAAGAAAGAGCAAAGGAUAGAGCCUACAAGAGAAGUUUUACCAGAGUUUGCUUUAGGCUUGGCUAACUAGUUGUGGGUAUGCCAAUGCAAUUUUUUGCUUUCCUUGUAUACUUUUUAAAACAAGUGCGUGUGAUAGUUCGUGGACACAGACAGGGUUGACAGACCUGAAACAUCUGUCGGAACGGAUAAAAAAAAAAACACGAGCGAGCAAGAGUGCAUAUGAACAACUGUGUGAAGCUAGCCAUGCUAGAGGAAGCGGAUGAGGAUGUCGCAGGAAGUGGAAGCUGACAGUUGGAGUGGCAGCCCGGCGUGGUGAACGCGACAGUGGACGAAUGAGUGCGGCUGGGGAGGCAGUCAGUACCGGAGUACCGCUGGCUACGGACAGCAUCUUAAACGGGUCUACAAACACAAAAAAAACCAACAGCUGAAAAGACAAACAGACAGAGGUAGAGCAGCAUCUCCACCGCUCAUCUCAAGGGAACGACGGGCCCACUGUUGGCUUUGACAAUUAUCGAACAUUUGUUGCGUUUCUGUCAUAAAAGACAAGUGUCCAAGUCUGUAGCAGUCCAUCUGCCAGCACAGAGAUACUCAGCUCAACAGAUAUUGUUGCUGUCUUUGCCGGGCAUCACAGAGCCGUUGCUCUUGAGGAACAUGCUUCUUGGUGCUUUCAGCCAUGAGUGGGAGCCACUCGACUAUUUAAAUAGCACCAUAUUAUUUUCAUUACUAUAAUGUCUGUCUGGUAGAGCACAGACACUUCAACGGCCACCUUUCUCAUCUUUUUCCUUGAAAGCUUCUGUGUCCGCUGACCACUCGAGUGCUGCGGCCAUUUUGUUUUCCUUAACCUCUUUCUCAGACUGCACAAUGUUUUUUUAUUUUUCAUGAAAUAUUAUUUAAAUAUCCUACUGCAAAACCGCAACAUUCAAAACACCACAGGACGACAAAAACAUUAUAUGUUUUUUUCCAUGUAGAAUAUUAAUAAAACAUGAAUUUUGUAUCAAACAUGGGACAAGGGAAAUGCCUUGCAGCAAUUUUGCAAACAAAUGUUGUUAAGAUAAGCUGGCAACUUUAAAGCUUUUCCAUAACGUGGCAACAAAAUUUGUUCAAUAAAACGAAGACAGUAUUAGUUACUACUUUGCAGAUUGAGAUUACCA
ensembl:lncRNA